UACGGAGGGUGCAAGCGUUAAUCGGAAUUACUGGGCGUAAAGCGUGCGCAGGCGGUUUGUUAAGUCCGUUGUGAAAGCCCCGAGCUCAACUUGGGAAUUGCAGUGGAUACUGGCAGGCUGGAGUACGGUAGAGGAAGGUGGAAUUCCCGGUGUAGCAGUGAAAUGCGUAGAGAUCGGGAGGAACACCAGUGGCGAAGGCGGCCUUCUGGACCAGUACUGACGCUCAUGCACGAAAGCUAGGGGAGCAAACAGG
rnacentral:rRNA from 1 species